GACACUUUGGCCGAGUGGUUAAGGCGCAGGUCUGCUAUUGGUUCCCGUCUGGGAAUAUAGUGAAUCUGUCCCUUCGGGGGCGUGAGUUCGAAUCUCACAGGUGUCG